rnacentral:rRNA from 1 species
AUUGAACGCUGGCGGCAUGCUUUACACAUGCAAGUCGAACGGCAGCGCGGGGCAACCUGGCGGCGAGUGGCGAACGGGUGAGUAAUACAUCGGAACGUACCCAGAAGUGGGGGAUAACGUAGCGAAAGUUACGCUAAUACCGCAUACGUUCUACGGAAGAAAGCGGGGGAUCUUCGGACCUCGUGCUUUUGGAGCGGCCGAUGUCUGAUUAGCUAGUUGGUGAGGUAAAGGCUCACCAAGGCGACGAUCAGUAGCUGGUCUGAGAGGACGACCAGCCACACUGGGACUGAGACACGGCCCAGACUCCUACGGGAGGCAGCAGUGGGGAAUUUUGGACAAUGGGCGCAAGCCUGACCCAGCAAUGCCGCGUGAGUGAAGAAGGCCUUCGGGUUGUAAAGCUCUUUUGUCAGGGAAGAAACGGCUUGGGCUAAUAUCCCCGGCUAAUGACGGUACCUGAAGAAUAAGCACCGGCUAACUACGUGCCAGCAGCCGCCGUAAUAC